AGAGAGAGACAUGCGCGCAUAUCAAUAAGCGGAGGAAAAGAAACUAACAAGGAUUCCCCUAGUAACGGCGAGUGAAGCGGGAAGAGCUCAAAUUUGAAAUCUUAAAGGGUUUCCCUUUACGAAUUGUAGUUUAAAGAAGUGUUUUCUGUUGAGGUUUUGGUAAAAGUUCUUUGGAAUAGGACGUCAUAGAGGGUGAGAAUCCCGUAUUUGACCUUUACUUUCAACUUUGUGAUACACUUUCAAAGAGUCGGAUUGUUUGGGAAUGCAGUCCAAAAUGGGUGGUAAAUUUCAUCUAAAGCUAAAUAUUGGCGAGAGACCGAUAGCGAACAAGUACCGUGAGGGAAAGAUGAAAAGAACUUUGAAAAGAGAGUUAAACAGUACGUGAAAUUGUCAAAAGGGAAGCGUUUGACACCAGUGUUGUUUUUCUGAAAAUCAAUUAAAGAACUGUUUAUGCUAAGUUGUUUAGACUUUAUCAGCUAACUGUUUAGUUUUGAGCUUUUCUUUAAUGCACUUUUCAGUUAACAAGUCAACAUCAAUUUCUUUUGCUGUAAAAAAGCUUGAGGAAGGUGGCUUGAGAUUCGUCUUAAGUGUUUAUAGCCUCUUGCCUAUGCAGUCGGAGAGAUUGAGGUCUGCAGCGUAGAUCCUUCGGGGCUAAAUGCAUUUGUGCUAAGUUAUAGCAUUUUAUAGACAACUUGUUGACUAUGAUUUGUCUUGUAGCUUACUCGCUUAUGUUAUUUUACCUACGCUUAGGAUGUUGAGCGCAUGUCUCUCUCU
rnacentral:rRNA from 1 species